UACGUAGGGUGCAAGCGUUAUCCGGAAUUAUUGGGCGUAAAGAGCUCGUAGGCGGUUUGUCGCGUCUGCUGUGAAAACCGGAGGCUCAACCUCCGGCCUGCAGUGGGUACGGGCAAACUAGAGUGCGGUAGGGGAGAUUGGAAUUCCUGGUGUAGCGGUGGGAAUGCGCAGAUAUCAGGAGGAACACCGAUGGCGAAGGCAGAUCUCUGGGCCGUAACUGACGCUGAGGAGCGAAAGCAUGGGGAGCGAACAGG
rnacentral:rRNA from 1 species